GAUGAACGCUGGCGGCGUGCCUAAUACAUGCAAGUCGAGCGAACGGACGAGAAGCUUGCUUCUCUGAUGUUAGCGGCGGACGGGUGAGUAACACGUGGAUAACCUACCUAUAAGACUGGGAUAACUUCGGGAAACCGGAGCUAAUACCGGAUGAUAUUUUGAACCGCAUGGUUCAAAAGUGAAAGACGGUCUUGCUGUCACUUAUAGAUGGAUCCGCGCUGCAUUAGCUAGUUGGUAAGGUAACGGCUUACCAAGGCAACUAUGCAUAGCCGACCUGGGAGGGUGAUCGGCCACACUGGAACUGAGACACGGUCCAGACUCCUACGGGAGGCAGCAGUAGGGAAUCUUCCGCAAUGGGCGAAAGCCUGACGGAGCAACGCCGCGUGAGUGAUGAAGGUCUUCGGAUCGUAAAACUCUGUUAUUAGGGAAGAACAUAUGUGUAAGUAACUGUGCACAUCUUGACGGUACCUAAUCAGAAAGCCACGGCUAACUACGUG
rnacentral:rRNA from 1 species